rnacentral:rRNA from 3 species
UCAAGCGACUAAGUGUAUGUGGUGGAUGCCUUGGCGAUCACAGGCGAUGAAGGACGUGACAGCCUGCGAAAAGCUGUGGGGAGCUGGCAAAUAAGCUUUGAUCCACAGAUGUCCGAAUGAGGGAACUCACCUGCUUUGCAGGUAUCCCAUCCUGAAUAUAUAGGGAUGGGAGGCGAACGAAGCGAACUGAAACAUCUAAGUAGCUUCAGGAAAAGAAAUCAACCGAGAUUCCGAAAGUAGCGGCGAGCGAAAUCGGAUCAGCCCAGCACUCGAUAGCAGCCAACUUACGGGAACGGUCUGGAAAGUCCGGCCAUAGAGGGUGAUAGCCCCUUACUGGAAAAGGCAGCUGUGGUACUAAGUGUGCGAUAAGUAGAGCGGGACACGUGACAUCCUGCUCGAAGAUGGGGGGACCAUCCUCCAAGGCUAAAUACUCGUGAUCGACCGAUAGCGUACCAGUACUGUGAAGGAAAGGUUAAAAGAACCCCGGGAGGGGAGUGAAAUAGAUCCUGAAACCGCAUACAUACAAACAGUAGGAGCCUCGUUAAGGGGUGACUGCGUACCUUUUGCAUAAUGGGUCAGCGACUUACGUUUAAUGGCGAGCUUAACCGUAUAGGGGAGGCGCAGCGAAAGCGAGUUCGAACAGAGCGUUCAGUCGUUAGGCGUAGACCCGAAACCAGAUGAUCUAUCCAUGGCCAGGUUGAAGGUGUGGUAACACACACUGGAGGACCGAACCGACUAGUGUUGCAAAAUUAGCGGAUGAGCUGUGGAUAGGGGUGAAAGGCUAAACAAAUCUGGAGAUAGCUGGUUCUCCCCGAAAACUAUUGAGGUAGUGCCUCGUGUAUGACUCCAGGGGGUAGAGCACUGUUAUGGCUAGGGGGACAUGGCGUCUUACCAAACCAUGGCAAACUCCGAAUACUUGGAAGUUUGAGCACGGGAGACAGAGCACCGGGUGCUAACGUCCGGACUCAAGAGGGAAACAACCCAGACCGCCGGCUAAGGUCCCUAAUAUUGACUAAGUGGAAAACGAAGUGGAAAGGCUAAGACAGUCAGGAAGUUGGCUUAGAAGCAGCCAUCCUUCAAAGAAAGCGUAAUAGCUCACUGAUCGAGUCUUUCUGCGCGGAAGAUGUAACGGGGCUAAGUCAAUAACCGAAGCCGCGGAUUCACACUUGUGUGUGAGUGGUAGGGGAGCGUUCUGUAAGCCUGCGAAGGUGACUCGUAAGGGUUGCUGGAGGUAUCAGAAGUGCGAAUGCUGACAUGAGUAACGUUAAAGCGGGUGAAAAGCCCGCUCGCCGUAAGCCCAAGGUUUCCUGCUCUACGUUCAUCGGAGCAGGGUGAGUCGGCCCCUAAGGUGAGGCUGAGAAGCGUAACUGAUGGGAACAAGGUUAAUAUUCCUUGACCACCGCUGAAUGCGAAGGGGGGACGGAGUAUUGAAGAUCAUCCGGGUGUUGGAUAUCCCGGUUUGCGAGCGUAGGAGGCUGACAGGCAAAUCCGUCAGCGAAUCUCCGAGGCAAAGCAUCGAGCUCUCUUUUGAGCGAAGUGAUUGGAUGUGCUUCCAGGAAAAGCCUCUAAGCUCCAGUUCAGCGGGACCGUACCGCAAACCGACACUGGUGGGCGAGCUGAAUAUGCUCAGGCGCUUGAGAGAACUCAGGAGAAGGAACUCGGCAAAUUGACACCGUAACUUCGGGAUAAGGUGUGCCUUUGUAGCGUGGAGGGAGAAACACCCCGAGCGCGAAGAGGUCUCAGAUAAUCGGUGGCUGCGACUGUUUAUUAAAAACACAGCACUCUGCAAAGACGAAAGUCGACGUAUAGGGUGUGAUGCCUGCCCGGUGCUGGAAGAUUAAUUGAUGGGGUGCAAGCUCCUGAUCGAAGUCCCAGUAAACGGCGGCCGUAACUAUAACGGUCCUAAGGUAGCGAAAUUCCUUGUC